rnacentral:rRNA from 3 species
AUAACGACUCUCGGCAACGGAUAUCUCGGCUCUCGCAUCGAUGAAGAACGUAGCGAAAUGCGAUACUUGGUGUGAAUUGCAGAAUCCCGUGAACCAUCGAGUCUUUGAACGCAAGUUGCGCCCGAAGCCAACAGGCUGAGGGCACGUCUGCCUGGGCGUCACGC